rnacentral:rRNA from 1 species
GAUGAACGCUGGCGGCGUGCCUAAUACAUGCAAGUCGAGCGAACAGACGAGGAGCUUGCUCCUCUGACGUUAGCGGCGGACGGGUGAGUAACACGUGGAUAACCUACCUAUAAGACUGGGAUAACUUCGGGAAACCGGAGCUAAUACCGGAUAAUAUAUUGAACCGCAUGGUUCAAUAGUGAAAGACGGUUUUGCUGUCACUUAUAGAUGGAUCCGCGCCGCAUUAGCUAGUUGGUAAGGUAACGGCUUACCAAGGCAACGAUGCGUAGCCGACCUGAGAGGGUGAUCGGCCACACUGGAACUGAGACACGGUCCAGACUCCUACGAGAGGCAGCAGUAGGGAAUCUUCCGCAAUGGGCGAAAGCUUGACGGAGCAACGCCGCGUGAGUGAUGAAGGUCUUCGGAUCGUAAAACUCUGUUAUUAGGGAAGAACAAUUGUGUAAGUAACUAUGCACGUCUUGACGGUAACUAAUCAGAAAGCCACGGCUAACUACGUG